rnacentral:sRNA from 1 species
CUUUUGUGGUUCAGCGGGGUCGCCAGCUGGAUCCCAGGCCCCUUCCUUGAAAAGCAGAGGCCUUGUACCCCCCAGGGUUGCUGGGUGGGACAGUGAUUCCAGCCCUUCAGCUUUAAGGAUCCCACCUUCUUUAUCACCAGGUCUUCUCCACUGGCCCGAGAUUGCCAUCACCUCCAGCUCCUCCUCUCCUGAAGUUGGCAGCCCCUCCUGGGUUCCAGCCUCCUGAGAUGCCAGACCCACUAGGGCAGUAUCCACAGGCCCUGAGCCUACAUCACCCACCCCAGUGACACCCCAAGCCUGCAUUUUCCACCCCCAGCCCCCUGGCCCCACCUUGCCUUCCGCCCACAUUCCCACCUGCUGCAGGGAGGGCCAUCGGCUGAGCCUUCAGACACACUUGCACCCCAUCCGCUCCCCUCCUGAAUUUCUUCUGACCCUCCCUUGGCUUCACAGCACCUGAAGGCCAGGCUGAAGCCCCCUGCUCUCAUGGCCAGCUCUGGAAAGCCUGGGGCUGAUGAGGCCCAGGAGGAGGCGGUGGAACUCGAGGGGGGCUCUGCAGAGCCGCAGGCUGCAAUGCUGGAGCAGGCUGAGGAGCUGUUUCUGCUGUGUGACAAGGAGGCUAAGGGUUUCAUCACCAGGCACGACCUGCAGGUGAGUCCCCCGCCCCGAGAGAAUGCUUCGGCCCUGGGCUGACCUCAGCGGCUCAUCUCUGCUCUCCUUCCCUGACCAGGGUCUCCAGAGCGACCUGCCCCUCACGCCAGAGCAGCUGGAGGCUGUGUUUGAAAGUCUGGACCAGGCUCACACUGGCUUCCUCACCGCCCGGGAGUUCUGCCUGGGCCUGGGUGAGCCUGAGACCUGCCUAUCCCCCACUGCCCAGAGCUGGAGGCCUGAUCAGGAGGCCUGGCACGUGUGGUGCCCUGAGGGCUGCCGGUGCCUCUCGUCCUCCUCCCUCCAGGGCUCGUGCUUUAGUCUGCACGCACUCGCGCUUGGGGGCUCCCAGCUGCGGUGGAGUGUGGGGAGCUGACCUUCCUGCCCCGCAGCUCCUCUCCUGUGCUAAGCUCCGGUGGGGCUGGGAGCCGGCCUGUCACCUCUUGUUUCCAGGCCAAUAGGACCAGAAUAAGGAAGAAAAACAGGAAACUGGGCCCUGAGAGAGUGCAGGAUACUUGUUGGGAGGGUGAACGGGGACGCAGCUAUGGUGGCGACCCACAGCCCUGGUAAUCGCUCGCUCCAUG